rnacentral:rRNA from 1 species
AACGAACGCUGGCGGCAGGCCUAACACAUGCAAGUCGAACGAUAAGCCACCUUCGGGUGGUGGACAGUGGCAGACGGGUGAGUAACGCGUGGGAACGUGCCUUUCGGUUCGGAAUAACCCAGGGAAACUUGGGCUAUUACCGGAUACGCCCUUCGGGGGAAAGAUUCAUUGCCGAAAGAUCGGCCCGCGUCGGAUUGGCUAGUUGGUGGGGUAAUGGCCCACCAAGGCGACGAUCCGUAGCUGGUCUGAGAGGAUGACCAGCCACACUGGGACUGCGACACGGCCCAGACUCCUACGGGAGGCAGCAGUGGGGAAUAUUGGACAAUGGGCGAAAGCCUGAUCCAGCCAUGCCGCGUGGGUGAAGAAGGCCUUAGGGUUGUAAACCCCUUUCAGCGGGGAAGAUAAUGACGGUACCCGCAGAACAAGUCCCGGCUAACUCCCUGCCAGCCGCCGCAGUAAAAC